rnacentral:lncRNA from 1 species
CUUUGUACGGGUGAUUAUACUUCAACUGUGCACUAUGUCCAGCACAUAGCGGCUCCGAAGUAUAACUUCGCACCGCAGCUGAUCCAGAGCCGACAUUUCUCAAGACCUUGUCCCGUUGGUGUGACUCUAAGGGGCGUCAACUAAAGGCCACGCGGUUGCAGUUAACCUUCGAAAGUCAGCCGAUACUACAGGCUAAAGUGCCCGUUUCCUGGGAGUGAUCUUGGACAAUAGACUAUCAUGGAGGAAAGCUGUGGACUACCUCUCAGAAGCAGCAUUACAGCGACUUCAGGCCCUCAAGCGAGUUGUUGGUAUGCGCUGGGGCUAUCACCCAAAGUCUAUGCUCGUACUGCAUAGCGCUUUAGUGACUAACCGGGUACUUUUCCAACUGUAAAUUAUGUGUCCAUCCGAGACCCAUUAUGAACGAUUACAGGU